rnacentral:rRNA from 1 species
GUCCACGCCGUAAACGAUGGGUACUAGGUGUUGGGGGUAUUGACCCCCCCAGUGCCGCAGCUAACGCACUAAGUACCCCGCCUGGGAAGUACGGCCGCAAGGCUAAAACUCAAAGGAAUUGACGGGGGCCCGCACAAGCGGUGGAGCAUGUGGUUUAAUUCGACGCAACGCGAAGAACCUUACCUGGGCUUGACAUCUCAGGAACCCCCUUGGAAACAGGGGGGUGCCCGCAAGGGAGCCUGAAGACAGGUGCUGCAUGGCUGUCGU